AACAAAAUCAAUGGAUUAGAUUCUUUGUAUGUGAGUAUUUUCUGAAAUGAGGCAUCUAUCACAAGUCUCAUGCCUCGUUUAAUCCAUUGUUUUGGUGUUAGUGAAUUCUCAUACAGAUCUUGGAAGCUUGACAGAUACACUGUAGAGAAGUGGCUGCAGCAGAGCAAAGAGCAAAAGACAUGGACAAAGCUGACCCUGGAUCAAACUGCCAGGCUAGGCUGAGCAGAUCUCCAGACCACAGCGGUCCGCAGGAAGAAAAGAGGUUUUGCUCCAAGAACAAUGCACACGUAACAGACAAAUGAGGCGAAGCUUACGUAGCAGCUUUGUCGCCUGCUUACUGAACAGAAGGAGCAUCCUUCCCACAACUGAGGAGCCUUUCUAGGAGCCAGAAUCCCACCAGCUUGAUGCUCUGGAUAAAUGAUGGCUGCCAUGCUUGAGAUUCGACAUUCCAGAAUAAUCUGCUGCCUUGCCUACCAACGGAACAGGGCGAUGCAAAGAUAAUAGAAAGAAGAAAAAUGAAUCUUCAAAAUGGGAGAAGAAAAUGGGAGACUGUCCCAGCGUUGAACUAGAGAAAAGUUGGGGUGACAGGAGCUGUGCCCAACCUAGCACUGACAACUAGUAAUGGCAAAGCUGGAAGGAAGAGAUAGAAGAAGAAAGUGCAUGUCACAGAAAGAGUGAAAGAUGUGCCAAUGACAGGAAUUAAGUUCUGUUUACUGUCUCAUCUGUCCCUUAAGGAGCACCAGGGGAAGAAGUAAUUUCAAAACUGCAUCUUUUGUGCUUACACAUCAAUUUUGAUUUAUGGUAGGUACUGGUACUUCAAACAUUCCAUUUUCUAUAACUAGGAAAGAUGAAGAAAAUAAACUGUUUAAACUAG